rnacentral:lncRNA from 1 species
AUAGCACUUAAACUAUUGAGAAUGGAGGAUCCCAGGACAACAUUUAAAAUGACAGCUAAUGUCUGUGGAAACCCUGGGCGUUUAGGAGUGGCCUAAAGCUAGAGUUCUCUUUGAUUACGGGCACCACUUUCAGAUAAAAACAUAGACCUGAAUGGCAUCAUCCAGUAUCCAAGGAAACCAUUUCUUACAGUACCCUGGAACAUAAUUCACCAUGGCCAGGAUGAAUCUGCUGUACACAGGAGUGAUCCUUCUAACCUGCCAUGUCCAUAGUUAUGUGAGAAUCUAGGAUGGAGCUGAAAGAACUGUAUCUUCCUGGAUCAUACCCAAAAGGUCUCUAAGUGCACUGAUGACAGGAAAAUCUUCAGUGGUUCCAGAGACAAGCUGCUGGAAAUCCUGCACAUUUAUUUUCUAGAAGGAAAUGAGCUGAUGAGGAAUAAUCCCUUCAGAGAUCCUCCCUUUAAAAAACCUUAAAGGACUCCAAAUUAAAGCAUAGCCAUUUCUGGGACCCUAAAGUGACUCAAAAAAAGGAAACAUCACUUACUUAAUGUUAGGUGAAUUUCAAAAGCCUUAAUAAGGGGAGAGCAAAGGUAGGGAGAAAGAUGGUGAAUAAAUUGUGAGAACCUACCAAGUAAAGAAAUAUCUUUUAAAUUCCACGCAUCAUGUUUUAUUUCACUUUGUAUUUCAAUUAAAAAAGGAAAAAUAUGCAUUUUAAAAAGAUAUAUUUUUUGCUAUUAAUAUUAGCACUUAAUGUCUGAGUACAGAUCCAUCAUUCAUUAGGUCUACAGUAGCCCACAGCCCUAAUUUACAAAUUCAUAAUCACAAGUCAGAUCAACUCAAUUGCUCAAGGCUGUGUAUUUGCAAGUUAGAGUAUACACUGCAAAUUUCCUGUCUUUGGGCCGGUAUACUGAGCAAUGGUACUUUUUAAAAAGAAUUUGCUCAUAUCUUAGAUUUAACAGAGUUGAAAAUGUUUAACCAAUAUCACUCAUGUAAUAUAAAGUGUAAAUUUAAGCAGUGUUCUAGAAAAUUCAAGGCAAAGUAGUUUAAACCAUUUGGCUCUUCCUAGAGGUUCUGAUUUUUUUUUUUUUAACCUGAAAAAGUAGGUAAUUACUCGAUAGCCUUAGCUCUAAAAUAUAUAUGACAGGUUAUUUUUAUUUGUUUGGUUUUCAGAAAUCAUAUCCAUGUUUUCUACUCUCUGUAGUCUUAGCAAAAUGAAUCAAAGCCACUCUGUAUCCAAAGGUAACACUAUGGUUGUCUUUUUUUUUUUUUUUUUUUUUUUUUUUUAACAUUGCAGGCUUUACCUCAAGUGCUAUGCAGUAAAUUUACAGGGAAAGAAAUAUUUUAUUAAAUUAUAACUGAGAGGAGCGGAUUUUUUUUUUAUAUAGCAAACAAAAAAUUCCUUCAUGAAAGGUUAUAAAACCGAUAUUAUUUACCAGAGAGACCUUUCCUGUCUCCCAGGUAAACACUUACAGUGUGUAGACUUGUGUAAAUACAUAUUUAGGAGUGGCUAAAUAUGGCGAGGUAUUUUUAAAGCCAUAUUUACAAAGCUGAAUACAUAUAUUGGCAUUUUGGAAUGUGUAAGCUGGGCAUGCUGCUCUGCUGUCUAUUCAGAAUUCUAGCAGGACGCUGCUAGAUACACCUCAGAUAUGGGGACCGAAUUUCAAAACAUUCAUCUUUAAUCAGAAUUACUAAAGACAGGUCCUUAAAUCAUUUCAAAAGGGUGAAAAUUUUCAACUAAUGGAGUUCAAGACUUUCUCACCAGUUUGACUUGAGGAAAACUGUUUCAGAAAUGCAGGCGUCAUUCAUGGAAAUAAAAUUUCUUUUCUG